CCUACGGGAGGCAGCAGUGGGGAAUAUUGGACAAUGGGCGAAAGCCUGAUCCAGCAAUGCCGCGUGAGUGAUGAAGGCCUUAGGGUUGUAAAGCUCUUUUACCCGGGAAGAUAAUGACUGUACCGGGAGAAUAAGCCCCGGCUAACUCCGUGCCAGCAGCCGCGGUAAUACGGAGGGGGCUAGCGUUAUUCGGAAUUACUGGGCGUAAAGCGUACGUAGGCGGUGGUUCAAGUCAGAGGUGAAAGCCCGGAGCUCAACUCCGGAACUGCCUUUGAAACUAGAUCGCUAGAACAUCGGAGAGGUAAGUGGAAUUCCGAGUGUAGAGGUGAAAUUCGUAGAUAUUCGGAAGAACACCAGUGGCGAAGGCGGCUUACUGGACGAUUGUUGACGCUGAGGUACGAAAGCGUGGGGAGCAAACAGGAUUAGAUACCCUGGUAGUCCACGCCGUAAACGAUGAUAACUAGCUGUUGGGCCUCAUAGAGGCUCAGUGGCGCGAGCUACGACAUUAAGUUAUCCGUCCGUCGGGUAGGUACGGUCGUCGAGAGUAAACUAACAAAUAGAAGUUAGACGGCGUGUAGACGUUGCGACGGACGACGACGAGGGAGGAGG
rnacentral:rRNA from 1 species